GCCCUUCAGCAACUGUAGGAGCGGGCGUGGUGUUGUCGCUACUGUCAGAUCCUGGACCGGGCAGCCGACUUUUUCUUGACUUGGACAUCAGCAGUGGAAGCAAGGGAAGUUUCAAGACACACAGUAAAGUUUGCUUCAGUCCAGGGAUCACAGUGCACAAAACCCGAGCAUACUUCUCUCUGAGCUCUCCGUGAUGUUGAAAAAGGAAGCCCAGGGUAGAGGAGACCAGCACAGCCCCAGCAUUCCUGAGCACUCCUUGUGAUGUAAGCUUCUUCAAAGAUGACCAAAUGCUUACCCUGUCUUGUGCCCAGCUCAGUGUACAGAGAAAUAACUACACUGAGAGAGAAACAAAACCAGGAAGCAGUCCCUGCCCUGAGAAGAAGCAGCCAUUAGUACACAGAGGGUAUGCUCACAUAAGAAGUAAAGCUUUCCUUUGUGGGACAUAUUUUUAUUGAAAAAUAUUUCUUCUGCUAACAGGCAUGAGAAGCAUUGGGUUGAUCAGAUGUGCCACCUUACUGACUGAUGCCUGAUGGACAUGG
rnacentral:lncRNA from 1 species